rnacentral:rRNA from 1 species
UGAUGGACAUGCGUUGGAUAGNNUGNUUGGCGGGGCACGGCCCCACCAAGGCGACGAUCCAUAGGGGUUUUGAGAGGAAGUUCCCCACCAUUGGUAUUGAGACACUGACCAAAUUCUACGGGGAGGCAGCAGUGAGGCAUAUUGUCAAUGGGGCGGAAGCCUGAACCAGCCAAGUCGCGUGAAGGAUGAAGGUAUUAUGUAUUGUAACUUCUUUAGCUGUGGAGACAUAAGGUGGUCGAGACCACCGAUGCUAGUACACAGAGAAUAAGGAUCGGCUAACUCCGUGCCAGCAGCCGCGGUAAUACGGAGGAUCCGAGCGUUAUCCGGAUUCAUUGGGUUUAAAGGGUGCGCAGGCGGUGCCUUAAGUCAGCGGUAAAAUCGUGGGGCUCAACCCCAUCCCGCCGUUGAUACUGGGGCACUUGAUUACGGUCGAGGCAGGCGGAAUUCGUCGUGUAGCGGUGAAAUGCAUAGAUAUGACGAAGAACACCGAUUGCGUAGGCAGCCUACCAGGCCGUUAAUGACGCUCAUGCACGAAAGUGCGGGGAUCGAACA